ensembl:lncRNA
UGUCCCUCUCCAUUUAACUGUUUUAUAUUAAGAGACACCUUCCAUACUCUACUUUUUUUUCUUUCCAUCUUUCUCUAUCCCUUUCCUUCUUCCACUCUUCUUUCCUUCUUCAACUCUUCUUCCACUUCUUUCCUUUCUUCUUUCCUUCUUCCACUCUUCUUUCCUUCUUUCACUCUUCUUUCCUUCUUUCACUUUUCUUUUUUUUCUUCUUUCCUUCUUCCACUCUUCUUUCCUUUCUUCACUCUUCUUUCUUUUCUUCUUUCCUUCUUCCCUUCUUCUUUCCUUCUUCCACUCUUCUUUCCUUUAUUCUUUCCUUCUUUCACUCUUCUUUCUUUUCUUCUUUCCUUCUUCCACUCCUUUCCUUUCUUCACUCUUCUUUCCUUUCUCCUUUCCUUCUUCCACUCUUCUUUCCUUCUUUUACUCUUCUUUUCUUUUCUUCUUUCCUUCUUUCACUCUUCUUUCUUUUCUUCUUCCUUUCUUAACUUUUGCAUUUCAUGCACUGGUAUUUCCUUCAGGAAAUGCAUUUUCUAGUUAUUAUUAUUCUUUGUACCGAACUUCUGCGCUUAAUUCAGCUCGAACCGCUUAACUUAGAAACUUUGUUCAAACUUUGCUGCGUAGGUCUUGUAAAGGACACUUAUGCUAUGUAUUUUUCAUUUUUCUAAACUUUAUACUUUUUAAAAUAUUAAAUAAAAACUAAUACAAUUUCUCCCAUUGACUUACAUUGGGCCAUUAUGACAUCAUAAUAGGGUCUUUAAACUGGCUUGCACCUGUGCUUCACUGACACCUGCGCCAAGGUUCCAAGGCUCCUCUUCUCUCUGUCCCUCUCCAUUCAACUGUAUAACUAGGAAUAUUAUUCUUUCCUUCUUCCACUCUUCUUCUUUCAUUCUUCCACUCUUCUUUCCUUCUUCCACUCUCCUUUCCUUUCUUCUUUCCUUCUUCCACUCUUCUUUCCUUCUUCUACUCUUCUUUUCUUUCUUCACUCUUCUUUCCUUCUUCCACUCUUCUUUCCUUCUUCUACUCUUCUUUUCUUUCUUCACUCUUCUUUCCUUCGUCUUUCUUUUCUUCUUUCCUUUCUUCACUCUUCUUUCCUUUCUUCUUUCCUUCUUCCACUCUUCUUUCCUUCUUCUACUCUUCUUUUCUUUCUUCACUCUUCUUUCCUUCUUCCACUCUUCUUUCCUUCUUCUACUCUUCUUUUCUUUCUUCACUCUUCUUUCCUUCUUCCACUCUUCUUUCCUUUCUUCUUUCCUUCUUCCACUCUUCUUUCCUUCUUUCUCUCUUCUUUCUUUUCUUCUUUCCUUCUUCCACUCUUCUUUCCUUCUUUCACUCUUCUUUCUUUUCUUCUUUCCUUCUUCCACUCUUUUUUCCUUCUUUCACUCUUCUUUCCUUCUUUCACUUUUCUUUUUUUUUCUUCUUUCCUUCUUCCACUCUUCUUUUCUUUCUUCACUCUUCUUUCUUUUCUUCUUUCCUUCUUCUUUCCUUCUUCCACUCUUCUUCCACUCUUCUUUCCUUCUUUCACUUUUCUUUUUUUUUCUUCUUUCCUUCUUCCACUCUUCUUUUCUUUCUUCACUCUUCUUUCCUUUCUUCUUUCCUUCUUAUACUUUUCUUUUUUUUACUCUUUCCUUCUUCUUUCCUUUCUUCACUCUUCUUUCUUUUCUUCUUUCCUUCUUCCCUUCUUCUUUCCUUCUUCGACUCUUCUUUCCUUUCUUCUUUCCUUUCUUUACUCUUCUUUCCUUUCUUAUUUCCUUCUUUCACUCUUCUUUCUUUUCUUCUUCCUUUCUUAACUUUUGCAUUUCAUGCACUGGUAUUUCCUUCAGGAAAUGCAUUUUCUAGUUCUUCUUCUUAUUCUUUGUACCAAACUUCUGCGCUUAAUUCAGCUUGAACCGCUUAACUUAGAAACUUCAUUCAAACUUUGUCGCUUAGGUCUUGUAAAGGACACUUAUGCUAUGUAUUUUUCA